rnacentral:rRNA from 1 species
ACCUCUAGCAUUACUAGUAUUAGAGGCACUGCCUGCCCGGUGACACACGUUUAACGGCCGCGGUACCCUGACCGUGCAAAGGUAGCAUAAUCACUUGUUCUUUAAAUAGGGACUUGCAUGAAUGGCAUCACGAGGGUUUAACUGUCUCUUACUUUCAACCAGUGAAAUUGACCUAUCCGUGAAGAGACGGGUAUGAUAUAAUAAGACGAGAAGACCCUAUGGAGCUUUAAUUUAUUAAUGCAACUAAAAACCACACAAACCUACAGGCUCCUAAACUACUACACCUGCAUUAAAAAUUUUGGUUGGGGUGACCUCGGAGCACAGCUAAACCUCCGAAUAAUCCAUGCUAAGACUAUACAAGUCAAAGCGAACUAAUAUUUACAACUGAUCCAAUAACUUGAUCAACGGAACAAGUUACCCUAGGGAUAACAGCGCAAUUCUAUUCUAGAGUCCAUAUCAACAAUAGAGUUUACGACCUCGAUGUUGGAUCAGGACAUCCUAAUGGUGCAGCAGCUAUCAAG